CCUGGGCAGUCGAUGCUACUGUAAACAUCCUUGACUGGAAGCUGUAAGGUGCUAGAAGGAGCUUUCAGUCGGAUGUUUACAGCGGCAGGCUGCCACAGUC
rnacentral:pre_miRNA from 1 species